rnacentral:lncRNA from 10 species
CCUGUGAAGAACAUUGUCAUUAUAUGUUCUUCCUUUAUGAUGAAAUGUGCCUAAGCCAUUCUUAGCAAAAGCAGGGAUGAUUGCUGGAUGUGUGUGUGUGUGUGCAUGCAUGCGUGUGUGUGUGUGUGUGUGUGUGUGUGCACGCGUGCUGUUUCUGUGGUCCAAAGGCAAGAUUUAUGAUUAUGGGAUAGACAGUAGCUUGCUCUCUCUAUUUUAUUUUUUAAAAACUGUUUUCCUUUGAAAUUCCUGAGUUAAUGUUCUGUCUGCUUUCUAUCUGACCCUCUUCGGAGAGUUGCAUUUUUUUUUUUUUCCACGAGAGAGAGAUUAAGAGAGAGAGAGACAGAGAGAGAGAGAGAAAGAACGAGGGUGACAGAGAGAAACAGAGAUCGGGGGAGGAGGGAGAGCGAGAGAACUGGAAACAAAGACUCGUUGUCUCUAAGCUGGAGCAGGCAGGAAACCCCAAUCCCUCGGGAACUUAGCCAGCCCGCCCUGUCCUGGAGUCAGACUCCAGCUCUCUGAAUUCAAUUUGACAGCUUGUCUGGGACACUUUCUAAGUAACCAUUAUCCUUCCUUUCUCUAAGUAAAAGGACUGUUAUUUCUUUUCGUGGGUGUGCUGUGCGAACUGCUAUUGCACACGUGUGGCUCACACAGUGACUAGGACACACUUUCCUCAAAUUAUUGGAAACAGCCCGUUUCCUAAGACAAGUGUAAAUUUGUUCCAGGAUAAUAAGGCAAAAGACUGAGUAUCAGUCCACUGCCUUAUUAGAGGUGGGCCUAUUCCAUUAGAGGAGGAAUUUUGUGUAUGUAGGUUUUACUUCUUUGAGGAUUCUUUUGAAAUAGACACAAACAACAAUAUCUCCCAAUGAUCAUUCUCCCCAGUUUCUGUGUUAAUUGAUGGAUUAAUUUAAUGAAACGCAUCACCAUACAUCCCACUGUGGAGGGAACUCAGAUGUCCUCAAAGCUACCAGAGGUUGUGCAGGCCACGGGCACAACUAGGGGUGACCACCUAGAGUUCAAAGGAGCCUGUCUUCUGCCUGGGAACAGGGCCAUCCUGGGGUUUCUUUUAAUUACUCAGACCCAGUUGAGUCACCACCAUAACCUGAGGGACUGUGAGGUGAUCACCUGCCCUUCAAUGUGUUCCUAUUGGAAGACCAUCCCGAUUCAGCUCUGUGGGACCGCUAGAGACAAGUUCCAGAACUGUCUGGAUCCCCCUGGAGCGUAGAGGUGUGAUAGUUUUGCUCAGUAAUACAGCUUUGCCCAUUUAGGUUCUGACCCAAAGACCUGUCCUUCAAACAUGACUUGGUUCCUGUCUACUCUAUCUUCAACCACACUUUGGAAUAAUGUUUCCCCAUUCUUCCUUUGCCGGGUAUACCUUUCAUCCGUCUCAGUCCCCACCCCCAGUCCAUAUUCUAGGAAACCACACUCACCCUUUAGGGCCGUGGUCAGAUCAGACAGCAUCACCUCAUUACGGUCUUGUGCACCCUUCCCCAGGAUGCUUUGCUUAUACCCACUGUUUUACCAAUACAGCAUUCAAUAGAUUCUAGCCCAGCAGUCUUCUGUCUUGUGAGACGGGAAGCGUCUUGAAGGUAGGGACUAUUGGAUGGAUGGAUGAAAAUAAUAGGCAAAGUACCUUAAACUGUUCCCCAGCAGUCUGGUGUAGAACUAACCCUUUGAGAUGUUUCUACAAGGUGGAUGUUUUGGCUCUAUCCACUGCAGCUGCUGGUGUGGCAUUGCCUUUCCUCCCUACCCUGCCCUAAAUUUCCAUUGCAUGGGACCCCAGGGUGGUUCCUUGGAAGCUGUGAUCAGUCCCAUCCCUGAACAAGGAAGCAAAACUGAUAAAGAGCAGAUUUCAAUCACAAGAUGAUGGCACCAGAGCCCCUUCUUGGCCCAACCACCGCAGGAUCCUGCUGCCAACUGGACUCCACAGGCCCUUCAGGUCUCUGCCCAUCAGGAGGAGGCUGAGGACACGCCAAGCCGAGGAAAGGUGACGCUGCAGGGAGAGUGUACCUUCUGCUCAAUUCCACCUUCCUUUCUUCACUUAUGCCCCAGACAGCCACAAUAAGAGCUAACAUUUGUUAAGCACCUACUAUGUGCCAAGAAAUUUCCUAUUCAUUUCACAUUUAUCCUUCAUAAAACCUUGUUAAGUUGGCACUAUGAUUAUUCCCAUUUUACCUGAAUCACAGGUAUGAUGUUAAGCCUGAAUCACAAAGCUAGUAUGAAACAGAAACAGAAGAGAGCCUGUUCCUGUAGUCCCCUCCCCACCUAGGCAAUGGCAAGGGCUCCAAAAUGACCCUUUCCUACUUCAUCUACCACCCCCAUCAUGCAUUUCCCCCAAGUAGCUGAUGUUGUCUAGUUGCUAAGAUAUAUUCAUCUAUUGACUCCUGCUACCAUCUAAAAAAUCAGGAGCCUGACCCAGUGCAAUCAAUCUUAUUUGCAUUUCAAGAAGCAAUCUAGCAAUUUAGAAUUUUAGAAAUUCCACUAUAAAGAGGUUGUUUGCCGGGUGGGAUGGGGCGGUGGUAAUGGAGCUGCAAAGUAUAUAAAAGAAACAUGCUUUGUCCACGCUUAUCAGUCAAAUUCUUUCUUUCUAUCCAUCCCUGGAGAGAGAGAGGGAGAGGAAGCUUCUUCCAUGCCACAUGGAGACAAACGGGCUUCAGACAUCUUCUAGUGAAAGACCAACGUAUAGGAAGCAUCAUUUGUGGUGGUUUCACAGAUUUUUUUUCAUUGUUAUGCUUUAUAAUUUAUAUAAUUAUACACAUAUCCUUUUGUGUUUAAUACUACAUUUAAGAGGAUAAAGGAAAACAAGAGAUUUAGAAAACAAAGUAUUAUAUUGAGUAACACUCUAUUGAUGAGAAUUUCAAUAAACUGAAUUUAAGAAACCA